UACAGAGGGUGCAAGCGUUGUUCGGAAUUAUUGGGCGUAAAGCGCGCGUAGGCGGCUUUGCAAGUCGGGUGUGAAAGCCCUCAGCUCAACUGAGGAAGGGCGCCCGAAACUGGAGGGCUUGAGUAUGGAAGAGGGUCUCGGAAUUCCCGGUGUAGAGGUGAAAUUCGUAGAAAUCGGGAGGAACACCAGUGGCGAAGGCGGAGACCUGGGCCAAUACUGACGCUGAGGUGCGAAAGCGUGGGGAGCAAACAGG
rnacentral:rRNA from 1 species